GGGUCAGUAGGUUGGUCGUGCCACCGGUACGUACUGGUCUCACUGAUUCCUCCUUCCUGAAGAACCGUAAUGCCAUUAAUUUAGUGUUGCGGGGAAACAGGACUGUUACUUUGAAAAAAUUAGAGUGUUUAAAGCAAGCUAACGCUUGAAUACAUUAACAUGGAAUAAUGAAAUAGGACGAUCGAUCCUAUUUUGUUGGUUUCUAGGAUUGACGUA
rnacentral:rRNA from 1 species